rnacentral:rRNA from 1 species
GACGGAGGGUGCUAGCGUUGUUCGGAAUUACUGGGCGUAAAGGGCGCGUAGGCGGCCUUCUCAGUCGGGUGUGAAAGCCCGGGGCUCAACCCCGGAACGGCACCCGAGACGGGUUGGCUGGAGACCGGGAGAGGAGGGUGGAAUAGCCAGUGUAGAGGUGAAAUUCGUAGAUAUUGGCUGGAACACCGGUGGCGAAAGCGGCUCUCUGGCCCGGUUCUGACGCUGAGGCGCGAAAGCGUGGGGGAGCAAACAGG